rnacentral:rRNA from 1 species
AGAGUUUGAUUAUGGCUCAGAUUGAACGCUGGCGGAAUGCUUUACACAUGCAAGUCGAACGGCAGCACGGGGGCAACCCUGGUGGCGAGUGGCGAACGGGUGAGUAAUACAUCGGAACGUGCCCAGUCGUGGGGGAUAACUACGCGAAAGCGUAGCUAAUACCGCAUACGAUCUACGGAUGAAAGCGGGGGAUCGCAAGACCUCGCGCGGUUGGAGCGGCCGAUGGCAGAUUAGGUAGUUGGUGGGGUAAAGGCUCACCAAGCCUGCGAUCUGUAGCUGGUCUGAGAGGACGACCAGCCACACUGGGACUGAGACACGGCCCAGACUCCUACGGGAGGCAGCAGUGGGGAAUUUUGGACAAUGGGCGCAAGCCUGAUCCAGCCAUUCCGCGUGCAGGAUGAAGGCCCUCGGGUUGUAAACUGCUUUUGUACGGAACGAAACGGCGCUUUCUAAUACAGGGCGCUAAUGACGGUACCGUAAGAAUAAGCACCGGCUAACUACGUGCCAGCAGCCGCGGUAAUACGUAGGGUGCAAGCGUUAAUCGGAAUUACUGGGCGUAAAGCGUGCGCAGGCGGUGAUGUAAGACAGAUGUGAAAUCCCCGGGCUCAACCUGGGAACUGCAUUUGUGACUGCAUCGCUGGAGUGCGGCAGAGGGGGAUGGAAUUCCGCGUGUAGCAGUGAAAUGCGUAGAUAUGCGGAGGAACACCGAUGGCGAAGGCAAUCCCCUGGGCCUGCACUGACGCUCAUGCACGAAAGCGUGGGGAGCAAACAGGAUUAGAUACCCUGGUAGUCCACGCCCUAAACGAUGUCAACUGGUUGUUGGGUCUUCACUGACUCAGUAACGAAGCUAACGCGUGAAGUUGACCGCCUGGGGAGUACGGCCGCAAGGUUGAACUCAAUGAAUUGACGGG